GUGUGGGUUUGUCAACCGCUGGGUUUCAGGAAUUUCCCUUGGGAGGGAAGUCAGUCCUUCAGGGCAACAGCUAAUGAGGAGACAGGAGCGCCCGGGGAGAGGCGUGGCCGAGAGGCGGGUGGUUCGUUUCCUUGGCGACCGGCCACUGGGCUCUGGCCUCCCCAAAGCGCGGUCCGCAGGCAACGCUGCUCCAGGCCCGGCAGUUACUAAGUGUGAUUAUUCUUAUUUAAAACCCCUCCGCUGAGUGUGCAAGGACAGACCAGGGAGAGGGGACAGGGAGAGAACUCACAGGCCCCCAAAGGGCACCCUUUCCUCGUUUCAGAGGCAGCGUUAUGGUUGUGAACCCCAAGCUGUCCCCGGGAAGCCCAGCUCCAAGGUGUGGGCAGAGGCCGGUCUGACACAGAAGGGGCUUGUGGAGGACCACAGACCCUGGGGUUAGGGCUUGGGGGGAGGGGGAGGGAGAGGGAGGGAGAGACAGAGACAGGAGACAGAGAGAAGGGGGCUGUAGGCACAGAAAGCGUAUGUGAAAGGCUCUUCCCGUAAAACAGCCGCUGUGACUCCAGAGACUCUUGCUGUCUGUCUCUCCGUCUGUCUGUCCACACGCAGGUGUUUUACAUCCUAGUCAGAGGGUCUCUUUUUCUGGGGUCACAUGAAGAAACUCUGUGACGCCCCAAUUACACCUGCCCCCUCAGAGCACCAGGGAUCCCUGGGGGGGGCCUCCCUCACCCAUGCCCCAGGGCCCCUGCCCACCCGGGUCCGGCCGGACCCACAGGGUAGGGAAGGAGACUCUGACCCCGCAGGACCCCAGGAGCUGUGAGAUGCUCACACACGGUACGGAUACGGGCACCGUUUGAUGAGAGGAAGGACGUAGUCCCCCCGGAGAGGGAAGGCCUGGUUUUUGGAGAAGGGACAGGAAUUUAAAUUGAACAAAUUGAGCUCUUCUCUUUUCUUUCGCAAUUGAUGAGAACUUCGGGGUCACGGUGGCCCUGGGUGGGGCAGGGCAGGUCAGAAGGACAGGUGACUUCCCACAGGAUGGGCAGGUGGCCCCUCGGGCAGGGCCACCAACCCAGGCAGCGUCCCUGUGACUCCUGCUGACCUCGCCACAUGACUGAUAACCUCUGAGCCCCAAGUCUCUUGCCGACCUUUAACUGGUUGAUAAAAAUAAAAUCAUGUAUUGUUUUUUAACAACCAGAUUUGAAAAAUGAAAAUUAUGUUGCCUGGAACCCUUCCAAAAAGGUUUUCCUUCUAGUACAUUUGACCCAGUAAUACUAGUCAGACUCCUGACGGUCAACAAGGGUCUUUAGUGAAAAUUUAUUCGUUUUUAAAGCUACAGAAAUAUGUGCCUGAACGCAGAGACAGCUCAGAAUCCCCUUCUCUAGACUGGUUCCCGUGUGACCUUGGACAAGUCACAUGCAUGCUCUGAAUUGUUUCCACAUCUGUAGAACGUGCCUCUUAAGCCCUGCACGGCAGGGACGUCCUGUGAGCUACGUGCUGGGUUUAGUUUACAUGAAGCAGCAUUUCUGCAAACGCGUCCCAGUCACACGGCUCUGAGGGACUCAGCCAGGGUAGGGGGAUUCCACGUCCCUCCCCGGGGACACACAAGCGCCCAGGAGUGGAAGCCUCUGAGCCUUUGGCAACAAAGAAAGCUGCUUACAGCUUUCUAUCCCAGUUUUCCCCAGGCUCAUCUGCCGUGGAAAUCGCUUUUCCCCACAUCACAGGCACUAAGGUCACAGAGAUGCGUCCCCAGAACCCACUAAGACAAAUGCGUGUGAGAAGAACAGAGCACGACCCUGCCCCUAUCUGCGUGGCUGUUCGGAAGCUGCGCGAACUUUUCAUAGAUGGGAUUUCCCUCUUGGGAAGUCCCGGGAAGAGCAAGCCGGAAUGCCAGCGCAUCCUGGGCCGGCUAACUGACCCCGAAUGAAAGCAUAGGAAACCUCCCGAGAAGGUCCCCGAACACAUGCUGCCUAACUGGUGCUGACUGCCCCUCUCCACUGUGUGUCCACUUCUCUGGAGCUGUUCAGCCCGGAAGAGAGGCUUGUAUGCCAGCCAGGGGUGACGCUUCCUCCAGGGAAACGGGGAGAAGUGACAGCCUGUCUUCUUAUUUUAUGGCAUGAACUAGAGCCUUCAAAACAAUGUUGGAGGGCUUCCCUGGUGGCGCAGUGGUUGAGAGUCCGCCUGCCGAUGCAGGGGACAUGGGUUCGUGCCCCGGUCCGGGAAGAUACCACAUGCCACAGAGCGGCUGGGCCCGUGAGCCAUGGCUGCUGGGCCUGCGCGUCCAGAGCCUGUGCUCUGCAACGGGAGAGGCCACAGCAGUGAGAGGCCCGCGUACCGCAAAAACAAAUAAACAAACAAAAAAAACACACAA